rnacentral:rRNA from 1 species
CCUACGGGAGACAGCAGUGAGGAAUAUUGGUCAAUGGGCGUAAGCCUGAACCAGCCAAGCCGCGUGAGGGAUGAAGGUUCUAUGGAUCGUAAACCUCGUUUAUAAGGGAAUAAAGUGUGGGACGUGUCCUGUUUUGUAUGUACCUUAUGAAUAAGGAUCGGCUCACUCCGUGCCAGCAGCCGCGGUAAAACGGAGGAUCCGAGCGUUGUCCGGAUUGAUUGGGUUUAAAGGGUGCGUAGGCGGCCUUUUAAGUCAGCGGUGAAAGUCUGUGGCUCAACCAUAGAAUUGCCGUUGAAACUGGGAGGCUUGAGUAUGUUUGAGGCAGGCGGAAUGCGUGGUGUAGCGGUGAAAUGCGUAGAUAUAACGCAGAACACCGAUGGCGAAGGCAGCCUGCUAAGCCAUGACUGACGCUGAGGCACGAAAGCGUGGGGAGCAAACAGGAUUAGAUACCCCAGUAGUC